GACGAACGCUGGCGGCGUGCUUAACACAUGCAAGUCGAGCGGUAAGGCCCUUUCGGGGGUACACGAGCGGCGAACGGGUGAGUAACACGUGGGUGACCUGCCUUUAGCUCUGGGAUAAAGCCUGGGAAAACUGGGUCUAAAUACCGGAUAUGACUCCGCGGUGCAUGCUGUGGGGUGGAAAGCCUUGUGCGGCUGGAGAUGGGCCCGGGCCUAUCAGCUUGUUGGUGGGUGAUGGCCUACCAAGGCGA
rnacentral:rRNA from 1 species